rnacentral:rRNA from 1 species
UAGGGAAUCUUCGGCAAUGGACGAAAGUCUGACCGAGCACCGCCGCGCGAGUGAAGAAGGUUUUCGGAUCGUAAAACUCUGUUGUUAGAGAAGAACAAGGACGUUAGUAACUGAACGUCCCCUGACGGUAUCUAACCAGAACGCCACGGCUAACUACGUGCCAGCAGCCGCGGUAAUACGUAGGUGGCAAGCGUUGUCCGGAUCUAUUGGGCGUAAAGCGAGCGCAGGCGGUUUCUUAAGUCUGAUGUGAAAGCCCCCGGCUCAACCGGGGAGGGUCAUUGGAAACUGGGAGACUGGAGUGCAGAAGAGGAGAGUGGAAUUCCAUGUGUAGCGGUGAAAUGCGUAGAUAUAUGGAGGAACACCAGUGGCGAAGGCGGCUCUCUGGUCUGUAACUGACGCUGAGGCUCGAAAGCGUGGGGAGCAAACAGG